GAUGAACGCUGGCGGCGUGCCUAAUACAUGCAAGUCGAGCGAACAGACGAGGAGCUUGCUCCUCUGACGUUAGCGGCGGACGGGUGAGUCACACGUGGAUAACCUACCUAUAAGACUGGGAUAACUUCGGGACACCGGAGCUAAUACCGGAUAAUAUAUUGAACCGCAUGGUUCAAUAGUGAAAGACGGUUUUGCUGUCACUUCUAGAUGGAUCCGCGCCGCAUUAGCUAGUUGGUACGGUAACGGCUUACCAAGGCAACGAUGCGUAGCCGACCUGAGAGGGUGAUCGGCCACACUGGAACUGGGACACGGUCCAGACUCCUACGGGAGGCAGCAGUAGGGAAUCGUCCGCAAUGGGCGAAAGCCUGACGGAGCAACGCCGCGUGAGUGAUGAAGGUCUUCGGAUCGUAAAACUCUGUUAUUAGGGAAGAACAAAUGUGUAAGUAACUAUGCACGUCUUGACGGUACCUAAUCAGAAAGCCACGGCUAACUACGUG
rnacentral:rRNA from 1 species